rnacentral:rRNA from 1 species
AUGAACGCUGGCGGCAUGCCUAAGACAUGCAAGUCGAACGAAGCGGCCCACUGACCUAUAUUGAAGUUGGAGUGCUUGCACAAAGAUGGAUUGUAGUGACGUGGAUCUUCCGCUUAGUGGCAAACGGGUGAGUAACACGUGGGUUACCUACCUUUAAGUUGGGGAUAACAGUUGGAAACGAUUGCUAAUACCGAAUGUGAUCUACGGAUUAAAGGAGCCCUUAAAGCUCCGCUUAGAGAUGGGCCUGCGGCGUAUUAGCUAGUUGGUGGGGUAACGGCCUACCAAGGCGACGAUGCGUAGCCGAACUGAGAGGUUAAUCGGCCACACUGGGACUGAGACACGGCCCAGACUCCUACGGGAGACAGCAGUUAGGAAUAUUCGUCAAUGGGGGAAACCCUGAACGAGCAAUGCCGCGUGAAGUGAUGACGGCCCUAUGGGUUGUAAAACUCUGUUGUUUGGAAAGAAUUGUUAAAGGAGGAAAUGCCUUUAGCUUGACGGUACCAUUCAAGAAAGCCACGGCUAACUACGUGCCAGCAGCGGC